rnacentral:rRNA from 1 species
AGAGUUUGAUCCUGGCUCAGAACGAACGCUGGCGGCGUGCUUAACACAUGCAAGUCGCGUGCGCAGUUGCCGUAGCAAUACGGUGAUGGGCGCACGGCGCACGGGUGCGUAACACGUGGGCAAUCUGCCCUUUGAUGGGGAAUAACCCGCCGAAAGGCGGGCUAAUUCCGCAUAAGAUUCCCGGAACUUCGGUUCUGGGAUUGAAAGCAGCAAUGCGUCGAAGGAGGAGCCCGCGCCCGAUUAGCUAGUUGGUGAGGUAACGGCUCACCAAGGCUAUGAUCGGUAGCUGGUCUGAGAGGAUGAUCAGCCACACUGGAACUGAGACACGGUCCAGACUCCUACGGGAGGCAGCAGUGGGGAAUCUUGCACAAUGGGCGAAAGCCUGAUGCAGCGACGCCGCGUGGGGGAUGAAGCAUUUCGGUGUGUAAACCCCUUUCGACUGGGAAGAAUACCUCGCAAGAGGGGUGACGGUACCAGUAGAAGAAGCCCCGGCUAACUACGUGCCAGCAGCCGCGGUAAGACGUAGGGGGCCAGCGUUGUUCGGAAUUACUGGGUGUAAAGGGUUCGUAGGCGGUGCGGCAAGUUGGGAGUGAAAUCUCUGGGCUUAACCCAGAGGCUGCUUCCAAAACUGCUGUGCUCGAGUGUGAGAGAGGCUCGUGGAAUUGCAGGUGUAGCGGUGAAAUGCGUAGAUAUCUGCAGGAACACCCGUGGCGAAAGCGGCGAGCUGGAUCACUACUGACGCUGAGGAACGAAAGCUAGGGGAGCAAACAGGAUUAGAUACCCUAGUAGUCC